GACGAACGCUGGCGGCGUGCUUAACACAUGCAAGUCGAACGGAAAGGCCCUGCUUUUGUGGUGUGCUCGAGUGGCGAACGGGUGUGUCACACGUGAGUACCCUGCCCUUGACUUUGGUAUAACUUCAGGAAACUGUGUCUUAUCCCGGAUAGGCGCUCCUUCUUCAUGGUGUGGGUUGGAAAGUUUCGUGGGUUGGGGAUGGACUCGCGGCUUAUCAGCUUGUUGGUGGGGUAGUGGCUUACCAAGGCUUUGACGGGUAGCCGGCCUGAGAGGGUGACCGGCAAAAUGGGGCCUGAGAUAGGGCCAGGACUCCUAGGGGAGGAAGAAGGGGGGAAAAUGGAAAAAGGGGCGGAGGCCGAAGGCAGGAACGCGGGGGGCGGGAGAAGGGCUUUGGGUUGGAAACCCGCUUUGGCAGGUGAGGAAGCGUGAGUGACGGUACCGAGUAAAGAAGCACCGGCUAACUACGUG
rnacentral:rRNA from 1 species